CAGUUAUUGAAGUGAAAUGCCAUACUGGAUAUUUUAUUCGGGGAGACAACAAACUGACAUGCCAAGGAAAAGGUCAAUGGAGCGAUAGUCCAGCAUGCGUCAUUCAAAAUUGUGGAAUCGUGACCGUACCAACCAAUGGUAUCAUAUUAACAAGUCCCGUGGUAACAACGUUUAAUUCAUCCUUGCGAUUUCAGUGUAAUGAUGGUUAUCAUCUGACCGGAAAUGACGUUCUGUGGUGUGACGCAAACGGCAAAUGGGACAGUUCAGUCCCGACGUGCGUUCGCAAGUACUGUGAUAACCCAACCCCAACAAACGGCGCCGUUAAUGGGACAUCCUUUUACUUCAGUGACGUGGUUUCAGUAUCUUGUGAUAAUGGCUACUUAUUGUCCGGCGAACCUUUCAUUAAAUGUCAGAAUAACAGUAAAU